rnacentral:rRNA from 1 species
GAUGAACGCUGGCGGCGUGCCUAAUACAUGCAAGUCGAGCGAACGGACGAGAAGCUUGCUUCUCUGAUGUUAGCGGCGGACGGGUGAGUAACACGUGGAUAACCUACCUAUAAGACUGGGAUAACUUCGGGAAACCGGAGCUAAUACCGGAUAAUAUUUUGAACCGCAUGGUUCAAAAGUGAAAGACGGUCUUGCUGUCACUUAUAGAUGGAUCCGCGCUGCAUUAGCUAGUUGGUAAGGUAACGGCUUACCAAGGCAACGAUGCAUAGCCGACCUGAGAGGGUGAUCGGCCACACUGGAACUGAGACACGGUCCAGACUCCUACGGGAGGCAGCAGUAGGGAAUCUUCCGCAAUGGGCGAAAGCCUGACGGAGCAACGCCGCGUGAGUGAUGAAGGUCUUCGGAUCGUAAAACUCUGUUAUUAGGGAAGAACAUAUGUGUAAGUAACUGUGCACAUCUUGACGGUACCUAAUCAGAAAGCCACGGCUAACUACGUGCCAGCAGCCGCGGUAAUACGUAGGUGGCAAGCGUUAUCCGGAAUUAUUGGGCGUAAAGCGCGCGUAGGCGGUUUUUUAAGUCUGAUGUGAAAGCCCACGGCUCAACCGUGGAGGGUCAUUGGAAACUGGAAAACUUGAGUGCAGAAGAGGAAAGUGGAAUCCCAUGUGUAGCGGUGAAAUGCGCAGAGAUAUGGAGGAACACCAGUGGCGAAGGCGACUUUCUGGUCUGUAACUGACGCUGAUGUGCGAAAGCGUGGGGAUCAAACAGGACUAGAUACCCUGGUAGUCCACGCCGUAAACGAUGAGUGCUAAGUGUUAGGGGGUUUCCGCCCCUUAGUGCUGCAGCUAACGCAUUAAGCACUCCGCCUGGGGAGUACGACCGCAAGGUUGAAACUCAAAGGAAUUGACGGGGACCCCCACAAGCGGUGGAGCAUGUGGUUUAAUUCGAAGCAACGCGAAGAACCUUACCAAAUCUUGACAUCCUUUGACAACUCUAGAGAUAGAGCCUUCCCCUUCGGGGGACAAAGUGACAGGUGGUGCAUGGUUGUCGUCAGCUCGUGUCGUGAGAUGUUGGGUUAAGUCCCGCAACGAGCGCAACCCUUAAGCUUAGUUGCCAUCAUUAAGUUGGGCACUCUAAGUUGACUGCCGGUGACAAACCGGAGGAAGGUGGGGAUGACGUCAAAUCAUCAUGCCCCUUAUGAUUUGGGCUACACACGUGCUACAAUGGACAAUACAAAGGGCAGCGAAACCGCGAGGUCAAGCAAAUCCCAUAAAGUUGUUCUCAGUUCGGAUUGUAGUCUGCAACUCGACUACAUGAAGCUGGAAUCGCUAGUAAUCGUAGAUCAGCAUGCUACGGUGAAUACGUUCCCGGGUCU